rnacentral:rRNA from 1 species
UACGAAGGGGGCUAGCGUUGCUCGGAAUCACUGGGCGUAAAGGGUGCGUAGGCGGGUCUUUAAGUCAGGGGUGAAAUCCUGGAGCUCAACUCCAGAACUGCCUUUGAUACUGAGGAUCUCGAGUCCGGAAGAGGUGAGUGGAACUCCGAGUGUAGAGGUGAAAUUCGUAGAUAUUCGGAAGAACACCAGUGGCGAAGGCGGCUCACUGGACUGGUAUUGACGCUGAGGUGCGAAAGCGUGGGGAGCAAACAGG